ensembl:lncRNA
AAAAGAGAAACAUAUGGAGAUGUUUAUUUGGUGCAAAUAUCAAAAUGUAUUUGUCUACAAAUCAUGCACUAUAAAAUGUGUUUUGAGCUCAUAAUAUAGUAUUGUUUAUGGAACUGUAUGAAAAUAAUGUUUAUUAAUCAAUAAUUGGCCGUAAUCAUAAUUUGUGUUAAAAUUGAUAAAAGAGUUUUGCAAAAGUAUGUGUAGAGGCACAUUUUUUUUUUUUUUUUCAUGUUGAAAUGGUUAGGAGGAAAAACUUGGAAUCACAUGGAAAACACUUAUCGUACUUGGUUAGAAUACAGUGUUGUUUGUCACAUCCAUGUUAGUUCUAAUUCAAACUCUUUUCUGUUCUGAACAACACAGAAGAGAAGAGUUGCUAGGCAUCGGUGAACAUCAGUUCAUGUGCUAGAAAUUUAUUGGCAAUGUUCACAUUAUCAACAUUGUUUUUCAAAUGAUUUCUCUGAUUGCGUGUGCACAUGAAGCAUUACUUUUCUGCAGUCUAUCAAACUUCUCAAGGUGCAAUCAGGGUCGAAACACCGGGUCUAAUCAGAGAAGACAGCAAUCAAGACUGCGAGGAUCUCUGGGUGCCUGAAGUACUUGACGAUCUGAAGCUUGCAGUGGAGCAGGUGACAGUUUCAAGUGCUCGUGCUGUGGAGUGCAUCAGGAGAGAAGAGGCGAGGAGCUGGAGGAGCGUGAAGUGUCUGGUGGCCUGUGGUGGAACGACUCGCUUCCCUCGCUGCGGGGCGUCUUGGUGACUCAUUAAUCUCCGCUUUUGUCUGUGUUUAUAAAUACAGAGACACGCUUCAUGCUAAUCUGGGAUCUACAGAGGGAUAUGCUCCAUCGGAGAUGAUUGCUUCAUUUUGCAUUUCCCCCAGAGUAAGCCCAUAACGAGGGGAAGAGAGAGCAGAAGACCUGCCGCUGAGAACGAUGUCAGGUGAGCGAAACCACUUCAAUCAUUGGAGGAAAACACUACAAACGUCCCUGACAGAGAAUGACUCAGCUGUCUUACAAGACUACAUCACCAGGCCCAAUGACCUAGUUCUGUUACGCAAUAUACAUGCAGUUGACCUGUCAGUGCUGGUUUCUUUUGGCUGUAGUGACAGCAGCCUCCACCGAUGGCAAACGUCAGGAAUAUAAAGCUCUUCUGAUGAGAAGAAGCUUUAAAAAAAGAGCUGAGAUCAUGAAUGAAUGAACAGCUGAAGUGUACUGAUACAUUCUAAAGAGGUUCAAACUCAAACUGUAAAUUGGACAAGAUCUCAGCGAACUGAAUUCAUUUGCUCUUAUUUCCCUAUGCAUUCUCAUUUCUAUCACUUUCUCUCCCGCUUCACUCAGCAGGGUCAGGAGAAAUUCACUAUGUACGAGAACCGAGUCCCUUUGAGUUUGUGAACUGAAUUGGUCACGCGCCGCAGGAUGUUGAAUUGGAAUUUGAAUCGGAAUGACAGGAAGAGGAAUUUAACGAAUUGCAAUUCAAAGAAAUUCGACACAGUCAUUCAACAGAGGAAUUUCAAUAGUACAACAAUAACACGAUGGCCAAGAACAGAUCACUUCCAUCUUUUUAACUUUGCUUCUUGAUGUCUGGCUCCAUUUGGAGACUCUGGCUAUAAAUUAGCACAGGGGUUUUUGAUGUUCCUAAUAUAUAAUGGCAUAUUUUCAUGUACUGAAUAAAGACCCAUCUAUACAGUGUGAGAAAGAAUGCACAAUCUUUAUAAAAGAAACAUGUUUUUACAUAAUGGAUUUUUAUGUUGUCAUUAUACUAAAGUAAAAU